rnacentral:rRNA from 1 species
UAAGGAAUAUUGGUCAAUGGACGCAAGUCUGAACCAGCCAUGCCGCGUGAAGGAUGAAGGUCCUCUGGAUUGUAAACUUCUUUUAUCUGGGACGAAAACGGGAUUUUUAUCUCAAUUGACGGUACCAGAGGAAUAAGCACCGGCUAACUCCGUGCCAGCAGCCGCGGUAAUACGGAGGGUGCGAGCGUUAUCCGGAUUUACUGGGUUUAAAGGGUGCGUAGGUGGGCUUAUAAGUCAGUGGUGAAAUCUCCGAGCUUAACUUGGAAACUGCCGUUGAUACUAUAGGUCUUGAAUAAUCUGGAGGUAAGCGGAAUAUGUCAUGUAGCGGUGAAAUGCUUAGAUAUGACAUAGAACACCAAUUGCGAAGGCAGCUUACUAGAUAUAAAUUGACGCUGAGGCACGAAAGCGUGGGGAUCAAACA